CGCCGCUUCGUCCCCAUCCCCCGCGCACCCAGCGCCUGCUUCCUCCCGAGGAAUGCCGCCGACCGCCCUCCAUCCCCACCACAACAGCGACCUCCUCCACAGGUUUCCUCCGCCGAGAAGGCUCCUCCUCCUCAAGCUUUCUCCCCCGAACAGGGCCUCCUCCUCCACGAGCAUCCUUCCCCGAGCACUAAGCUGGGCCGCAUCCUGGUUCCCUCACCCGAGCAGCGGACCUUCCUGUACGGCCCCUCUCCCGAGAAGCUCCACCUCCUCUACAUCCUCCCCCAGCUGAGAAUGACUUAUAAGUUCAUGGCAAAAGCAGCAACAUGAGUACGCAACCACAAGCAAGCUGAGGGGUUAUUUCUAGACAACGCUUUAGGAACCGAGUUCACUACAACUCGAAGUCUUGUGCAUGGAGGAGAAUUGAGAUAUUUGUGCAUUCUGUACUAGUCAAAAGGUUGGCAUCAUGGUUGGAAGAUCUUCUGUGCUACUCUCUACAUGAUGUUUCUUCUACAUGAUAGCACUUGACGUCUAUAUGAUAGCGCUUGAAGUCUACAUGAUGUUUCUUGUAUUCAUAGCUCAAACCAUUUGUUUAGCUUAGUUUGAACAAAAAAUAUUAUUGUCUUACAUGUAAAUAAUGUUUACUAAUGUAGCUGGAUGCUACUGAACGCA